GGACUCGUGGUCUAGUUGGCUAUGACGUCGCCUUGACAUGGCGAAGUUCGGGCGUUCGAAUCGCCCCGGGUCCA
rnacentral:tRNA from 1 species